UUCCCAUUCCGAACAGAGAAGUUAAGCCCACUAGCGCCGAUGGUACUGCAGUUUUUGUGGGAGAGUAGGUCACUGCCGACU
rnacentral:rRNA from 1 species